rnacentral:lncRNA from 1 species
GGUACUGGGAGGUGCGGCCAGAGCGUUAGACCUCUGGAGGGCAGCAGAGGACUCAACAGAUCCCUUCUCACUGAGCACUUCCUCCCUCUGUGCUACUCCUGAAAGACAGGGACUGCCUGCCAUGCCCUCAGAAAACCAACACAGGUUCUUACCUAGUCUCCACAGGAACCCAGGGUGCUCUUUGGGACUGGAUCUGAGGCCACUGUCUCAAUGUCUCCACCAAUCUCCUUUCAGGAGGCAGAGAGGAAGACUGGGCUCCCUGCUUUGAUCACAGGGUUCUACUAAUUAGGAAAUCCAAAGGAGCUCAUUAAUUAGAUAACCUUCCUGAAGUUCGAUUUCGGGUCCAUAGCUCCUUGAUUUGCUUCUUUAUUUGGAGCUGGUAGUUUAUCAAUUUCAGUGACUGUAGAUGAUACAUAACUUUGGAAAGCAUUGUGGCAUAAUAAAAAUAUUUUUAUUAAACUAGGUACCAUGUAUGUAGCAACCAAAAAAAAAAAAAAAACAAAAACAAAAACAAAAAAAACCUCCAUCCCCACAUUUCUUCUUACCUCCAGACACAUGGGAUGGAUGAUUCUUUGACUGUGGGGGGUCUUACCAAUACAGAGAUCAGGCACAUUGUCUACUACUCGGAGACCAGGAUGAUGGCAGGAGGAGCUCUUCCUACUCUGCCUGUACAGCUGAAGGAAGUUGGUUGGCCUUGCCAGGGUGCCUGAAGCACAGGGGUCAGGAAAGCAAAGGACUUCUCAAAAGGGAGGGACGCCUGUCAGCAUUCCUGGAGAAAGCUCUGUCUACUCCAGUGUUCUCUGUUCUUGUAUGGUCAACGGCUGCCUAGUGCCUGAGUGCCGCUUCAUCUGAGCAGGUCAGGAUUGACGCAAACAUAGGAUUGGUAUCCUGCAGGAAGAGGGCUGGCCAAAGCCGAGCUGUCCCUCUUCGGUCUGGUGCACAUUAGCCUUGUUGGCAGUGUGUCUCCUCAGCCUGUGCGUUACGGUCUCUCUCAUAGAAAUAGGAACAAGGGGAAGUUAAAGACAGAGGCCUAAGGAGAUAAUUUAAAAAAAAAAACAACUAUCUUUCUGUUGGUUUGAUUUGUGCUUUUCUGUUUGGGUGCAACAUUGUGUUUGAGGCAAAGCUAGAACUUUGAGAUAUUUUAUUUAAAGAAGCGAGUGCUCUGUUAUUAAAUAAACCUAAUGUGGGUCUAUGAUGAGUUUCACUUAAAUGCAGUCUAUUUAUAUUAAGGACCAAUAUUAAAGAGUUAUGGAUAAUAAUACUUCAAAGUGGUGGUUGCAUUGGAAUAAGUGUACGUCUUGUCAGCUAGAUUCCUGGUGUAAAAUAAUUUUACUGUAGGCAAGUUGACAGAAAAAAAACAUCACCUCUGUACUCUAUAGCCCAUUAAAAUUGUGUCCUGCCUCCACCAGUGUGGUGGUUUGAAUGAAUAUGGGAUCAUGGUCUCAUAUUUGGAGGUUAGGUCACCAGGGAUUGGAACCGUUUGAUAGGAUUAGAAGGAUUGGGAGGCAUGGCCUCUGGGAGGAUGUGCGACCCUGUGGGUGGUCUUUGAGGUUCUAUAAGCCCAUUCCAGGCCCAGUCUGCCCCUGCUGCCUGGGCUCAGACUGUAAAGCUCAACCCCAGAGUUUGCCUGCCCGAGUGCUCCCUGCUGUGAUAAUGGACUGACCCUCUGAAACUGUAAGCGAGCGCCCAUUAAAUGCUUUCCUUUCUAAGA